AUCUGUGACCAUACCACCCUGAACGCACCCGAUCUCAUCUGAUCUUGAAAGCUAAGCAGGGUUGGGCCUGGUUAGUACUUGGAUGGGAGAAACAGGGUCUCCCUAUGUU
rnacentral:rRNA from 1 species